rnacentral:Y_RNA from 1 species
GACUGGGUCCAAAAGUCAAGAGUUCUCUCCGUUGUUCAUGGUCAGUUGCAGAUUGAACUCCUUGUUCUACUUUUUCCCCCCUUCUCACAAAUGCACUUGACCAGUCUUUA